AUUGAACGCUGGCGGCAUGAUUUACACAUGCAAGUCGAACGGUAACAGGCCGCAAGGUGCUGACGAGUGGCGAACGGGUGAGUAAUGCAUCGGAACGUGCCCAGUCGUGGGGGAUAACUACUCGAAAGAGUAGCUAAUACCGCAUACGAUCUAUGGAUGACAGCGGGGGACCGUAAGGCCUCGCGCGAUUGGAGCGGCCGAUGUCAGAUUAGGUAGUUGGUGGGGUAAAGGCUCACCAAGCCAACGAUCUGUAGCUGGUCUGAGAGGACGACCAGCCACACUGGGACUGAGACACGGCCCAGACUCCUACGGGAGGCAGCAGUGGGGAAUUUUGGACAAUGGGCGCAAGCCUGAUCCAGCAAUGCCGCGUGCAGGAAGAAGGCCUUCGGGUUGUAAACUGCUUUUGUACGGAACGAAACGGCUCUGGUUAAUACCCGGGGCUAAUGACGGUACCGUAAGAAUAAGCACCGGCUAACUACGUG
rnacentral:rRNA from 1 species